CAAGGAUUCUCCAAGUUCGGUCCAAGACUUGUCUUCCAUGGGAUGAGAGCGCCCUCUCCGAAACCACCAUCCGCGCAAACAGUCACGCCACGACGAGCUUCCUCAACUCGAUCCACCAUUCCUACCUUGUGUUCUCUCUCAGAAAGGACUUCGAAUGAAGAAUCAAGGAUGACAAAUGGAUUUGACGUGCCAUUUUUAUCUUCCUCAUCGAUCGCUCAUUGUUGAUGAAAAUAAUUGGUGUUUCGUUAUGCUAAGACUGACGGAGAAUGGUCGUAGCUGCUCGUGUGUUGCUGAUUCGAAACGAAGACGUCGCGUUGGAGUCUGUUGCGACGAGGAUUGACUUGCGAAGCGAAGACGAAGACUUCUCCAAAAUCAUUGUUGAAGAUUGAAGGUUGGGGAUUGCAGGUUCCGAAUUGGAUUUACAAUUGGAGAGAAUUGUGGAGUUCUUUGAGAGGUGAUUCCAAUGGAGGAUUGAAGGUUGUGGAGGGAAGGUUGACAAUGAAGGACGAAGAGUGCUGGAUUGAGAAACGAGUUUCAGGCACUGCUUGUUGGACAGAUGCAAGGCGAUGCUAAUGUAAUGCAGCUGGGGUCGGAAAUUGCAGGGUAUUUAGUGGCUGCAUUUGGAUUUCAUGGAAAUGAUUCAUUAGCUCAAACUAUGUUCAUUGUCCCUUGGUGCAUCAAGUGAAAAGAGACUAUAAAAGUUGAGAAACCUACAGUUCAAAUUUCAGGGAUACUUCUGAACUGGUUGCGGAUAAUGAGGAAUUUGCCUAUGAUUCUGAUCGAAGGACCUGCACGAAAAAACAGCAUGAACCUUCUUGUAAAGUUCUUCAAAUCCAUCAGUUUCUAUUCCUUUCUUGAUAUACUGACUGAAAUGAGUUUGGUAUUUUUCUGGUUCAUUUUCAAUCAAAGUCUUUAUGUAGGCCGUGACAUGUCUACCAAAGACAUACUUCCUGUGAAUCUCAGCAUCAAGCUCCUUCUUUUAUUUUUUUUUGUAUCAUGUGAACAUGUGGUUAUGAUGAUAUAACGUGAAAAUAUAUCCAUGAUUGUUUAUGUAACAAUGCUUAUGUAAUGCAAGCCAUCUUUUUGUACAUCAAAUUGGUUAUUAAACCUAUGUAUGCAAAUAUUAAUGGAUUAAAGCUAUACUUUUUAAAUCAAA